CAGCAGCCACGGUAAUACAGAGGGUGCGAGCGUUAAUCGGAUUUACUGGGCGUAAAGCGUGCGUAGGCGGCUUCUUAAGUCGGAUGUGAAAUCCCUGAGCUUAACUUAGGAAUUGCAUUCGAUACUGGGAAGCUAGAGUAUGGGAGAGGAUGGUAGAAUUCCAGGUGUAGCGGUGAAAUGCGUAGAGAUCUGGAGGAAUACCGAUGGCGAAGGCAGCCAUCUGGCCUAAUACUGACGCUGAGGUACGAAAGCAUGGGGAGCAAACAGGAUUAGAGACCCGGGUAGUCCCUGUCUCUUAUAC
rnacentral:rRNA from 1 species